rnacentral:rRNA from 1 species
GAUGAACGCUGGCGGCGUGCCUAAUACAUGCAAGUCGAGCGAACAGACGAGGAGCUUGCUCCUCUGACGUUAGCGGCGGACGGGUGAGUAACACGUGGAUAACCUACCUAUAAGACUGGGAUAACUUCGGGAAACCGGAGCUAAUACCGGAUAAUAUAUUGAACCGCAUGGUUCAAUAGUGAAAGACGGUUUUGCUGUCACUUAUAGAUGGAUCCGCGCCGCAUUAGCUAGUUGGUAAGGUAACGGCUUACCAAGGCAACGAUGCGUAGCCGACCUGAGAGGGUGGACCGCCACACUGGAACUGAGACACGGUCCAGACUCCUACGGGAGGCAGCAGUAGGGAAUCUUCCGCAAUGGGCGAAAGCCUGACGGAGCAACGCCGCGUGAGUGAUGAAGGUCUUCGGAUCGUAAAACUCUGUUAUUAGGGAAGAACAAAUGUGUAAGUAACUAUGCACGUCUUGACGGUACCUAAUCAGAAAGCCACGGCUAACUACGUG